rnacentral:rRNA from 1 species
GAUUAUGGCUCAGGAUGAACGCUGGCGGCGUGCCUAACACAUGCAAGUCGAACGAAGCACUUCUGGUUGGAGAUUCGUCGAAGACCGGAUUUGACUUAGUGGCGGACGGGUGAGUAAUGUAUGAGCAACCUGCCUUUCAGAGGGGGACAACAGUUGGAAACGACUGCUAAUACCGCAUAAUGUAUUGAUGGGGCAUCCCGUUGAUACCAAAGGAGCAAUCCGCUGAAAGAUGGGCUCAUAUCUGAUUAGUUAGUUGGCAGGGUAACGGCCUACCAAGACUGCGAUCAGUAGCCGGACUGAGAGGUUGAACGGCCACAUUGGGACUGAGAUACGGCCCAGACUCCUACGGGAGGCAGCAGUGGGGAAUAUUGGGCAAUGGGCGAAAGCCUCGACCCAGCAACGCCGCGUGAAGGAAGAAGGUCUUCGGAUUGUAAACUUCUUUUAUGAGGGACGAAGGACGUGACGGUACCUCAUGAAUAAGCCACGGCUAACUACGUGCCAGCCGCGGC